UUGCAGUCGAGCGGAAACGAGUUAUCUGAACCUUCGGGGAACGAUAACGGCGUCGAGCGGCGGACGGGUGAGUAAUGCCUAGGAAAUUGCCCUGAUGUGGGGGAUAACCAUUGGAAACGAUGGCUAAUACCGCAUGAUGCCUACGGGCCAAAGAGGGGGACCUUCGGGCCUCUCGCGUCAGGAUAUGCCUAGGUGGGAUUAGCUAGUUGGUGAGGUAAGGGCUCACCAAGGCGACGAUCCCUAGCUGGUCUGAGAGGAUGAUCAGCCACACUGGAACUGAGACACGGUCCAGACUCCUACGGGAGGCAGCAGUGGGGAAUAUUGCACAAUGGGCGCAAGCCUGAUGCAGCCAUGCCGCGUGUGUGAAGAAGGCCUUCGGGUUGUAAAGCACUUUCAGUCGUGAGGAAGGUNGUGUAGUUAAUAGCUGCAUUAUUUGACGUUAGCGACAGAAGAAGCACCGGCUAACUCCGUGCCAGCAGCCGCGGUAAUACGGAGGGUGCGAGCGUUAAUCGGAAUUACUGGGCGUAAAGCGCAUGCAGGUGGUUUGUUAAGUCAGAUGUGAAAGCCCGGGGCUCAACCUCGGAAUAGCAUUUGAAACUGGCAGACUAGAGUACUGUAGAGGGGGGUAGAAUUUCAGGUGUAGCGGUGAAAUGCGUAGAGAUCUGAAGGAAUACCGGUGGCGAAGGCGGCCCCCUGGACAGAUACUGACACUCAGAUGCGAAAGCGUGGGGAGCAAACAGGAUUAGAUACCCUGGUAGUCCACGCCGUAAACGAUGUCUACUUGGAGGUUGUGGCCUUGAGCCGUGGCUUUCGGAGCUAACGCGUUAAGUAGACCGCCUGGGGAGUACGGUCGCAAGAUUAAAACUCAAAUGAAUUGACGGGGGCCCGCACAAGCGGUGGAGCAUGUGGUUUAAUUCGAUGCAACGCGAAGAACCUUACCUACUCUUGACAUCCAGAGAACUUUCCAGAGAUGGAUUGGUGCCUUCGGGAACUCUGAGACAGGUGCUGCAUGGCUGUCGUCAGCUCGUGUUGUGAAAUGUUGGGUUAAGUCCCGCAACGAGCGCAACCCUUAUCCUUGUUUGCCAGCGAGUAAUGUCGGGAACUCCAGGGAGACUGCCGGUGAUAAACCGGAGGAAGGUGGGGACGACGUCAAGUCAUCAUGGCCCUUACGAGUAGGGCUACACACGUGCUACAAUGGCGCAUACAGAGGGCGGCCAACUUGCGAAAGUGAGCGAAUCCCAAAAAGUGCGUCGUAGUCCGGAUUGGAGUCUGCAACUCGACUCCAUGAAGUCGGAAUCGCUAGUAAUCGUGGAUCAGAAUGCCACGGUGAAUACGUUCCCGGGCCUUGUACACACCGCCCGUCACACCAUGGGAGUGGGCUGCAAAAGAAGUAGGUAGUUUAACCUUCGGGGGGACGCUUACCACU
rnacentral:rRNA from 1 species